UACGUAGGUGGCAAGCGUUGUCCGGAGUUACUGGGCGUAAAGGGCGUGUAGGCGGCCUUUUAAGUCAGACGUGAAACCCCUGGGCUUAACCCAGGAACUGCGUUUGAAACUAAAAGGCUUGAGGACCGGAGAGGGUAGUGGAAUUCCCAGUGUAGCGGUGAAAUGCGCAGAUAUCAGGAGGAACACCGGUGGCGAAGGCGGGUCUCUGGGCAGUAACUGACGCUGAGGAGCGAAAGCGUGGGUAGCGAACAGG
rnacentral:rRNA from 1 species